rnacentral:rRNA from 1 species
GACGAACCGAGCGAACGUUAUUCGGAAUCACUGGGCUUAAAGGGUGCGUAGGCGGGCACGCGAGUCAGGGGUGAAAUCCCACGGCCCAACCGUGGAAGUGCCUCUGAUACCGCGAGCCUCGAGGGGGAUAGGGGCGUGCGGAACUUCCGGUGGAGCGGUGAAAUGCGUAGAUAUCGGAAGGAACACCGGUGGCGAAAGCGGCGCGCUGGAUCCCUACUGACGCUGAGGUACGAAAGCCAGGGGAGCAAACGGG